AAAUUCCUCUCCUCAUUUGGCUUCUCAUUCAACGAGGGUUUCUACAGAAGAAUUUUCCCGAGGAGUCGCUAACAGAAGGCUCUUCAAGAAAGCUUCUGAAGAUUUUUUUUGUAGCACCACACCAGAUGGGAGAUGCAAGCUUCAGAAACUUGAAAACAUCCAGAACUGGAAGAUGGACACUUCCUAGGUUGUAAGGUUGAAUACGAACAAUUUAAAGCGAGAAAAUCAAGCGAAAAGUUCCCUGUGCGGUGUGACCAUUCCAUGUAUCGAAGGGUUGCGGCGUGACAAGGCCGCACUCCGAUGUGACAACGCCACCCUAGCCAAACUAUCAGCUUGACCACGCCGCUCUCGCAAUUCUAUGGCGUGACCACGCCAAUUAUGGAUGUCACCAUGCCGACGAGCGAGAAAGCAUUUUAGAAAGUAAAUUUGAUGGCCCAAGAAGUGAUUUUUGUUAUAAAAUAAACUCCUAUGACUUCUUAGAGGGAGCUCUGCACCAGAGAAGGCUUGAAAGCUGCUAGAGACGAAUUUAUGGAGGGAAUUUGAGUUCUCUCUUGAAGUUGAUCUUCUCUAAAAGAGGGAUUUUUGUCUUUGUUUUGUGAGUUGUGAAAGUUUUGUACGAGAGGAAGAGUUGUUGUCACAAGGAGAGAGCAAGUUCUUACAAGUUUUUAAUAUAUUUGUUGCUUGCAAUGUAUUCCUUCAUAAAUUUUCUCACUAUGAUGUUAUCUACGAUGUGUGACUAAAUUCUUUUUCGUGUCUCUGCGAUGUAGGGGGCACUAGA